GACGAACGCUGGCGGCGUGCUUAACACAUGCAAGUCGAACGCUGAAGCUCAGCUUUUGUUGGGUGGAUGAGUGGCGAACGGGUGAGUAACACGUGAGUAACCUGCCUCCUUCUUUGGGAUAACGCCCGGAAACGGGUGCUAAUACUGGAUAUUCACUGGUCUUCGCAUGGGGGUUGGUGGAAAGGGUUUUUCGGGUGGGGGAUGGGCUCGCGGCCUAUCAGCUUGUUGGUGGGGUGAUGGCCUACCAAGGCUUUGACGGGUAGCCGGCCUGAGAGGGUGACCGGUCACAUUGGGACUGAGAUACGGCCCAGACUCCUACGGGAGGCAGCAGUGGGGAAUAUUGCACAAUGGGCGCAAGCCUGAUGCAGCGACGCCGCGUGAGGGAUGGAGGCCUUCGGGUUGUGAACCUCUUUCGCUCAUGGUCAAGCCGCAACAAUGGUUGUGGUGAGGGUAGUGGGUAAAGAAGCGCCGGCUAACUACGUG
rnacentral:rRNA from 1 species